ensembl:lncRNA
UUCCUUUAACUCCUCGGGCCUGGGGGGGGGGGGGGCUUCUUGCUGUUUUAUACCUUUCCUUUUUUUUCCCUUCUUCUUCCUCCCUUUUUUUCAGACGCAUUUUUUUUCUUUCUUUCCCUUCUUUCCCCCCCUCUCUUUCCCCCCUUUUUCCUUCCGGCUUCGGCAACCGGGAGCGGCGGGGUUCGUGCACACGGUGCUGCGCUCGCACCCCGCGGCCGCACAGGGGCCGUACCCGGCUGAUCGCGGGGGGGGGUCCGGCAUCCCUUCGCCCCCGCGCCCGCAGCGCCGUGUUCCUCGCGUGAGAGCCUGUGAUCAGCGCCGGCCUCUCUGGGAAGCAACACCAGUCUCGUUCCAGAAGAACAAAAUAACAGCGUGAGGCUGAAACCUGGCACGGACCGGGGGAACGCGGCCAUCUGCCCCGCACCGCACGGAGCCCCGCGGCCGCGGAGUGGGCGGAGGGCGCAGAGCUCCGGUGCUGCCCUCCUCCUCCUCCUCCUCCCCUCCCUUCCUCGCUCCUUUCCCCGCUCCAUCCCUUCUUAGGGAAAAGCGGUUGAAAGGAGAAAGGCAGAGAGCACGAAUGGGUGCCCUCCCCGCGCUGCGUUGCCGGGGGUAUGGCCAGUGUGAUGGAAACAAGGCCUGCCAGCUGGAUACAACUUUCAGAGAGCUGGUGGUGAAGUUCUGCUUUUCCAGCAUAUUGUUCUUUCAAGUCAAGGAAGGUGUGCAUUGAUCAUCACUGAGUCGUCAUUGUCAGACCUUCCAAAGUGAGGAGAAAGCUGUGCAAAAUGAGUGGACAUUAAUCUAGCAACCUGCCUCUCUUUGUGCCUCAGCUCACUGGCAGUAAUGUGAGGUUAAUGAUACACCCUCAUUCCACAGGUUCAUUAUCAGAAAUAAGGUAAUUAACAUCUGUGAAUGGCGCUAAUUUAAGAGUGGAGAAGGCCAAAGAGAAGGCUAUGAGAAAAUUAUUAUUUCCA